ACCUUUUAUUACCUCCGCCAGGAGGUUAUGUAAUCAUCUGGUUACCUCCGCCAGGAGGUUAUGUAAUCAUCUGGGUUUGUAUGUGUGUGUGUGUGUGUGUAUGUGUGUGUGUAUGUGUGUGUGUGUGUGUAUGUGUGUGUGUGUGUAUGUGUGUGUGUUUGUCUGUGAGCACGAUAACUCAAGAAAUACCAAACAUAUCCGUACGAAAUUUUUUGAAUACAUUUCCCAUCGGCUAAGGAAGAACUGAUUAAAAUUUGGUUGAAUUUGGUUAAAAAUUGAACGAGGAAUGAACAAAAUUUUGUCUUGCUUUUCCCGGUCAAUUAACAAAAAAUAUUACUGAAUGCGUAAUUAGGACGUGUAUAAUUUAUGCACUCAGUGCUAAGACAAUAAUGAGAUGAUAAACCUCAUUAAGCUUCGGCCUUCAUUAUCUAUUGUCUUAGUUGCAUUUCACGCGACCGAAAUUCAAUAUCUAAAACAAGGCUU